AGUGAACGCUGGCGGUAGGCCUAACACAUGCAAGUCGAACGGCAGCACAGUAAGAGCUUGCUCUUACGGGUGGCGAGUGGCGGACGGGUGAGGAAUACAUCGGAAUCUACUUUUUCGUGGGGGAUAACGUAGGGUAACUUACGCUAAUACCGCAUACGACCUACGGGUGAAAGCAGGGGAUCUUCGGACCUUGCGCGAUUGAAUGAGCCGAUGUCGGAUUAGCUAGUUGGCGGGGUAAAGGCCCACCAAGGCGACGAUCCGUAGCUGGUCUGAGAGGAUGAUCAGCCACACUGGAACUAAGACACGGUCCAGACUCCUACGGGAGGCAGCAGUGGGGAAUAUUGGACAAUGGGCGCAAGCCUGAUCCAGCCAUACCGCGUGGGUGAAGAAGGCCUUCGGGUUGUAAAGCCCUUUUGUUGGGAAAGAAAAGCAGCAGGUUAAUACCCCGCUGUUCUGACGGUACCCAAAGAAUAAGCACCGGCUAACUUCGUG
rnacentral:rRNA from 1 species